GUGGGGAAUAUUGGACAAUGGGGGGAACCCUGAUCCAGCCAUGCCGCGUGUGUGAAGAAGGCCUUUUGGUUGUAAAGCACUUUAAGCGAGGAGGAGGCUACCGAGAUUAAUACUCUUGGAUAGUGGACGUUACUCGCAGAAUAAGCACCGGCUAACUCUGUGCCAGCAGCCGCGGUAAUACAGAGGGUGCAAGCGUUAAUCGGAUUUACUGGGCGUAAAGCGCGCGUAGGUGGCCAAUUAAGUCAAAUGUGAAAUCCCCGAGCUUAACUUGGGAAUUGCAUUCGAUACUGGUUGGCUAGAGUAUGGGAGAGGAUGGUAGAAUUCCAGGUGUAGCGGUGAAAUGCGUAGGGAUCUGGAGGAAUACCGAUGGCGAAGGCAGCCAUCUGGCCUAAUACUGACACUGAGGUGCGAAAGCAUGGGGAGCAAACAGGAUUAGAAACCCCAGUAGUCC
rnacentral:rRNA from 1 species